AUUGAACGCUGGCGGCAGGCCUAACACAUGCAAGUCGAACGAGUGGCGGACGGGUGAGUAAUGUCUGGGAAACUGCCUGAUGGAGGGGGAUAACUACUGGAAACGGUAGCUAAUACCGCAUACCAUCAGAUGUGCCCAGAUGGGAUUAGCUUGUUGGUGGGGUAACGGCUCACCAAGGCGACGAUCCCUAGCUGGUCUGAGAGGAUGACCAGCCAGACUGGAACGGAGACACGGUCCAGACGCCUACGGAAGGCAGCAGUGGGGAAUAUUGCACAAUUGGGGCAAGCCUGAUGCAGCCAUGCCGCGUAGAUGAAUAAGGCCUUCGGGUUUGAAAGUACUUUCAGCGAGGAGGCGUUAACCGCAGAAGAAGCACCGGCUAACUCCGUGCCAGCAGCCGCGGUAAUAC
rnacentral:rRNA from 1 species